AUUGAACGCUGGCGGCAGGCCUAACACAUGCAAGUCGAACGAGUGGCGCACGGGUGAGUAGUGUCUGGGAAACUGCCAGGGGGGGGGGGAACAAUACUGGAAACGGUAGCUAAUACCGCAUACCAUCGGAUGUGCCCAGAUGGGAUUAGCGAGUAGGUGGGGUAAUGGCUCCCCUAGGCGACGAUCCCUAGCUGGUCUGAGAGGAUGACCAGCCACACUGGAACUGAGACACGGUCCAGACUCCUACGGGAGGCAGCAGUGGGGAAUAUUGCACAAUGGGCGCAAGCCUGAUGCAGCCAUGCCGCGUGUAUGAAGAAGGCCUUCGGGUUGUAAAGUACUUUCAGCGAGGAGGCGUUACUCGCAGAAGAAGCACCGGCUAACUCCGUGCCAGCAGCCGCGGUAAUUC
rnacentral:rRNA from 1 species